UUGGGAAACGAUUAACAUCUCAUUUCUAUAAAUAAUUUAAUAAUAAUUAUGAUACAUUAACUAUAAAUUAUUUCUAAAUCAACCCAAAUCGAGACAAGUAAAAUAAAUACUAAAAUUUUGAUAAACCCUGAUACAAAAGGUACAAUAAAUAAAAUCUACUUAAAAAAAUUUAAAAUAAUAUUUCAUAAAACACUUACAUUACCAAUAAACUAUAAUUUAAAAAAUCAAUUCUAUAAAAUAUACUAAGACAAAAAUACAAUAAAAUUAUUUAUAUUAAAUAAUUAAAUAAACAAAAAAUAAAUAUAAUAAAAUAAAUAA